UAGGGAAUCUUCCACAAUGGGCGCAAGCCUGAUGGAGCAACACCGCGUGAGUGAAGAAGGGUUUCGGCUCGUAAAGCUCUGUUGUUAAAGAAGAACACGUAUGAGAGCAACUGUUCAUACGUUGACGGUAUUUAACCAGAAAGUCACGGCUAACUACGUACCAG
rnacentral:rRNA from 1 species